rnacentral:lncRNA from 1 species
UACUUGCACCACCUUCUUCAUUUUCAGUGGGGGGAAGCUACUGCCUGAUUUAUCAGAAAUUCAGCAGGACCAGCACAUAUACACAGAAAUGACAAGGAAAACCUCCUGAAAAUGAGACAAUGGACAACAGGAAUCCUGGACCCUGUGAGAGCUGCAUAAAUCCACCCUGUGGGGUUUCUCAGGCAGAAUUCCAAACGUGGGACCACAUCCUCAGACAUCUCCCUGGGACUGUUGCUUGCUUUUAUCAGAGGAAAGCUAGGGUGCUAUUUCCCCCCCAAAACUGUCAAGAGGCCAUUUCCUCUCCAGCUUUUUGUUUAUUUAAGGAAUCUCAGAGGCAGAACUUGACAUGAAAUAAUGCAGAUAAAGGAUUGGUGUCCUUCUCCAAACAGCCUUAAGUGUAUGGAUCAUUUCCUGUAGGGUCAGAUGUUUCCAGAAAGUCUGGAGGCUCUUUAAGCAAUGUGGACCAGUGGUGGCACUGGUAGCAGUUACCUGGUUAAUACAAAUGAUGGCAUCAGCUGACACCUGGAAGGUCUGAAAUCCUCAGCUCAUACUAGACACUGAAAGCAAAUUGAUCAUCCCUACCUUAAAGAGCUUCCAUUCUAUGAAAUUGUGGCAACAGAAGAGAGCUAUUCCUUGUCACAGUGGUGCUGGCAGUGCUCUCCUCCUUGGCACACUCAGAGAGCUCUGGCUGUGCUGCAGGAGGGGAGCACAGCUCUGCUCCCCACUGCAGCCCCCAUGCUCUGUGUUACCCUGCAGGUAAAGCUGGCAGGGCUCAGAGCCCAGGGGAAAACCCCUGAGAGGCAGCAAGAAGCAGCAGUCAGAAAAAGAGACAGAUUUCAGAAUUAGCAUCCUUGAGUUUGACAAAAUGAUCCAACAUAACCUCAGAACAUCUUUUGAACCGAGGCUUAGAUUGUAUUUUUAAGUCCUGCUGAUGACACCUAGGAAGAUGGGACAGUCAGUUGAUCCAAGUUUGUGGCGAGACAAGAAAGCCAAAGGAAAGGAAAUCCAAAGGAAGUCCAAUGCUUGCACAUCAAAAAAACUUCUGCUGUCUUUAGGAAAGAGGCCACAUUCUCAGGAGUGCGGGGUUUUUCUCCAUUGGUACUAAGGGCACAAACCAGUGCAGCAUAUGUAAAAUCCAGCCUCAGUUUAUUUUUUCAGGGCAGCUUUACCUGCAGCAUUCAUCCUCAAAAAAGCCUGAUCUCCAGAAUAAGAGUUGUACAUAUAAUGGGU